rnacentral:rRNA from 1 species
CUACGGGUGGCUCCAGUGGGGAAUAUUGGACAAUGGGGGAAACCCUGAUCCAGCAAUGCCGCGUGUGUGAAGAAGGCCUGCGGGUUGUAAAGCACUUUCGGUUGGGAGGACUGCUUCUAGCACUAAUAUUGUUGGAAGUUGACGUUACCUUCAGAAGAAGCACCGGCUAACUCCGUGCCAGCAGUCGCGGUAAUACGGAGGGUGCAAGCGUUAAUCGGAAGUACUGGGCGUAAAGCGCGCGUAGGCGGCUAGAUCAGUCGGGUGUGAAAGCCCCGGGCUUAACCUGGGAACUGCAUCCGAUACUGGCUAGCUUGAGUACAGGAGAGGAGAGUGGAAUUCCACAUGUAGCGGUGAAAUGCGUAGAUAUGUGGAGGAACACCAAUGGCGAAGGCAGCUCUCUGGCCUGAUACUGACGCUGAGGUGCGAAAGCGUGGGGAGCAAACAGGAUUAGAUACCCCGGUAGUC